rnacentral:rRNA from 1 species
AGAGUUUGAUCCUGGCUCAGGACGACGCUGGCGGUGUGCUUCACACAUGCAAGUCGAACGAGGUAGCAAUACCUAGUGGCGACGGGUGAGUAACGCGUGGGAAUCUGCCUUGAGAUGGGGGAUAACGAGCCGAAAGGCUCGCUAAUACCGCAUAUGCCGAAAGGUGAAAGGAGUAAUCCGUCUUAAGAUGAGCCCGCGUCCGAUUAGCUAGUUGGUGGGGUAAAGGCCUACCAAGGCGACGAUCGGUAGCUGGUCUGAGAGGAUGAUCAGCCACAAUGGGACUGAGACACGGCCCAUACUCCUACGGGAGGCAGCAGUGGGGAAUUUUACGCAAUGGGGGAAACCCUGACGUAGCGACACCGCGUGAGCGAAGAAGCCCUUUGGGGUGUAAAGCUCUGUCAGCUGGAACGAAAAAAUGACGGUACCAGCAGAGGAAGCAUCGGCUAACUACGUG